rnacentral:rRNA from 1 species
AGGCAGCAGUGGGGAAUAUUGCACAAUGGGCGCAAGCCUGAUGCAGCGACGCCGCGUGAGGGAUGAAGGCCUUCGGGUUGUAAACCUCUUUCAGUAGGGAAGAAGCGAAAGUGACGGUACCUGCAGAAGAAGCGCCGGCUAACUACGUGCCAGCAGCCGCGGUAAUACGUAGGGCGCAAGCGUUAUCCGGAAUUAUUGGGCGUAAAGAGCUCGUAGGCGGUUUGUCGCGUCUGCCGUGAAAGUCCGGGGCUUAACUCCGGAUCUGCGGUGGGUACGGGCAGACUAGAGUGCAGUAGGGGAGACUGGAAUUCCUGGUGUAGCGGUGAAAUGCGCAGAUAUCAGGAGGAACACCGAUGGCGAAGGCAGGUCUCUGGGCUGUAACUGACGCUGAGGAUCGAAAGCAUGGGGAGCGAACAGGAUUAGAUACCCUGGAAGUCCAUGCCGUAAACGUUGGGCACUAGGUGUGGGGGACAUUCCACGUUUUCCGCGCC